UAGGACUCUCGGCAAUGGAUAUCUUGGCUCUUGCAUCGAUGAAGAACGCAACGAAAUGCGAUACGUGGUGCGAAUUGCAGAAUCCCGUGAACCAUCGAGUUUUUGAACGCAAGUUGCGCCUGAGGCCAACUGGCCAAGGGCACCGUCCGCCUGGGCGUCAUGC
rnacentral:rRNA from 1 species